AUUAGAGAUUAGAGAGUAAAAAUAAAAUUGACAAGGAGAUUGGAGAGAUCAGAGAACCAAAAACCCUAAACUCUCAAAACAACCAUUUCCGAAAAAAAAAGGACUUGAAGAUGGAAGGAGUAAGGUAUUCUGAUUAAGUUUUUCUCCCUAAAAUUUAGCUCACCCAUGCAGAGAAUGUUAGAAGUUGAACUUUGGCUUUUAAAAGUAAAUGAUUGGAAAGAGAUUGGGCAAGAAGCAUAUGUGGAACAUCGCCUUGCUCAAAAUCGACAAUCAAAUGAUGCAAAUCUAACCCUUGUGGAGGAGUGAAGGAAGCAAUAGGGGCAUGAAUAAUUAUUUUUUUCUCUUGCAAAAGUAUAUUGAUAUGUUUGAAUAAAGUGAUGUUUCACUAUUUUGAAUGAUAGUGUUGAACCUUUCAGUCUUUUGUUUUCUAAUAUAUUGCUUUUAUUACACAAUUGAAGAUAUUAUGCUAUGAUAUUGU